ensembl:lncRNA
UUGUUGUGCUUAAUGUUGUUGUAGAUCGAGUGUGGUUUAAAAGCGUAUGAACGAGAGUCAGUUACUUAGCCGACAACAGAUCGCUAAGAAUCUCGAUACAACAAGUAGCAGUAACAGACGGUAGUUACAGACUUCUCAAAAUUGUGAGCACAUGUGCUUUUACUAAACACGCCAGCAGGAAAUGUUGCUUUCAAGCAAGCACCUCAACGUAUCAUGAAUGUGGAACAGAAUAACUGAGGUGGUUACCGUUCCCUGCCGAUAUAUGGACAAGCACAAGCAUCACAGUGAGCUGCUGAUGGAAUUCUUGGUAAGCAGGAGGAAUAAAGAGGGGGUAAUCCUGUCAACAUGGAGUGACGAAAUGGGGGACACAUUGCAUGUUCUGACGUGGAGUCUGGAUAAGGAUUACACAGAGCUGACUUUACACACCUUCUCACUGAUGAGGGAAUUCCAUCCAGGAUUAUGAUGCACAUCAUUUACACAGACACACACACACACCCUACUACACUAUACCACAUGGCAAAAAAAAAUAAAAAUUUCUGGGUCUCAUUCA